rnacentral:lncRNA from 1 species
AGAAGAUUUUGAUACAUAUUCCCUGAAGUUGAAGGACAUGUGGACUUGUGUUUGACUGUCAUGUGAAAAAUCAAGAGACAGACAAACAGUAUAGAUGCUGAUGGAUGAGCUGAAGUGAAAGUAGCUGCUUUAGGAUCAGCCUACACUCCAACAGCAUGUGAAGAGCCCAGUGCAGCUGAAAUCCUAGAAGACCUCACAACUGUGUUAAAUUUUCACAGCUGACCACUUAAAGGCAGUUCUCUUCAAAUAAGAGAGUCUCACUCUCUCACCCAGGCUGGAGUGCGGU